GUCUUUACAUGUGAAAAAGUAAGCGAACCAGAAACGUUCAAAUAUUUUCAACGCAGUAGGUUCGUUAAAAUUGUGAAUACUUCGAAGUGAAAAUAUUUUUCUAUUUGAAUAUAGGUUACGGAUGAAAUAGGAUAUAAAAAUGUUUUUUUUGAAACGUCGAAGAUUUUGUCUGCAUCUCGUAAGAUAUCGGAAGCCGUCUGACUUGGCCACAUCGCUCGGAAGUCCGAAGUACUAGAAAAAACCGCCAUCUGCUACCUUAAGGUAGCAGUUGGUAGUUUCCAGCCACAGAUUCGAAUUGGCCAGGGUCAAAAUCUGUCAUUAGAGAUAAGACCUUGAAGUGAAGGCAGUUUUGAUGUUUGAAAUAUUUGUUGAUGUCUGCAUCUCGUAAGAUAUCGGAAGCCGUCUGACUUGGCCACAUCGCUUGGAAGUCCGAAGUACUAGAAAAAAACCGCCAUCUGCUACCUUAAGACAUUCGUCAAUUUUUGUCUGCAUCUCGUAAGAUAUCGGAAGCCGUCUGACUUGGCCACAUCGCUCGGAAGUCCGAAGUACUAGAAAAAACCGCCAUCUGCUACCUAAAUUUAAUAAAAA